UAUGCACAUACCCAGACACCUGGCGAAAAGCAAUUUAAAGACACAUUUAUUUUGGCUCACAUCUGGAAGGCAUGUAGCCCCAGCACAGCAGACAAGCAUGGAAGCAGAAGCCUGUGGCCAUAUGGUCACUGUAUCCAGUUAGGAAGCAGAGUGACCAGGAAAUGCUGGCAGGCUCUAAAAGCCCCUGACCCACCGAAGGGAUCCACUUCCUCCUGAAGUCCGACACCCUUCCGGAACCCAUGCUACCAUCAGCUGAGAACCAAGUGCUCAAAACCACAAUCUGUAAAGUUACCCCUAGAAAUCAACACGUGCAAUGUUGGGCCCCAUUUUGGUCCUGGUUUGGGCCUUGAGGACAAACCUGAGCCAGGCUCAAGGUUUGAGACCCUGCCUUCUAUAUCAUCUUACCCCACCCAAAACCCCCCUCCCUAUGUUCCCAACCUAUAUAAGCGAGAGGCUGAUGCCAUAAAGUUGAGUUCCUGCUUCAUCAAGACUCCCGGCUCGGUGUGUUUCUUUUGGGCCAUCCUGCUCAGGCCCAGAGAGACCCCGACAGGACCGGGACCUCUCUCCUCUUUCCUGGACCUGACAGCAAGGAGCCAGCAGACUGGUCCUCCAGGUGAGGAACCCCUCCCCCCUGACAGAAGAACACUGACGGGCCAAUCUGUCUGCAGGCCAAGAUGAUCAAGAAAAUGGCCCUGCUGCAGACAUGGAUGCUGCUCCCCAUCUUGACUGAGGGAGGAUUCGGUGACCCCCAAGGAGCACAAGAGAUCCUCAAAACACAGUUGGGUAAUCCCUGUGACUGUAAAGGAGAUGCUUAUAGCCUGGGAGGCACUACCCUACAGGUUAUUUACUGUGGAUGCUAAUCGAUCCAGGAUGCUGCAAAACAAGAUAAAGAAGCUCAGGAAGACCUAGAAAGGAGGCAGAGAGUUCCAAGACAACCUGUUGUGGACUGGAUUUCAUGGCCUAUUACCCUAUUUCCUCCCCCUCCUUGGCCCCUUCCUUCUUCUCCUUAUCUUGACUGUCGGGCCAUAUGUGCUCAAUAAGCUCACUCAAUUUAUCAGAGGCUAGAGGUGUUCUGGCUUCACCAAGUUGAGAUCCAUUACCAAAGACUUUUCUCUUCUGAAACAGGCUGUACAUAUCCCUCUGCCUAUGAGCACCCCCUCCUCAGCUCUCCACCUGACCAGCGACAGGUAAGAUCUUAGAUGUGCUGGGACAACCUAAGACAGGUCAUGGAGUACCCCCCCUUUUUGAGCCAGAGUGAAACAUGGUAUCCAGAGACGGGUAAGAUCCCCAUGUGGUGGACAACCUAAGACAGGAGCCAUGUAACCUGCUCAUUAUAAAAUCAAAAGGGGGAGAUGUUGGGCCCCAUUUUGGGCCUUGAGAACAAACCUGAGCCUGGCUUGAGUUUUGAGACCCGUCUUAGUCACUUUCAUAUCGUCUUAGUCACUUUCAUAUCGAAGGUGAUCCAACAAGGCCCGUUUGGCCCUGCCUCUGUCCCACUACUGCUGAUGUAGAGCUUUGCCAUUGGCCCAGUCAGUCACUACAUAGCCUCUGUCACCUUUCCCUACUCCACCCCCCUUAUGUUCCAAACUUAUAUGAGAGACUGGUGCCAUAAAGUUGAGUUCCUGCUUUGACAAGACUCUUGGCUCAGUGUAUUUCUUUUAGGCCAAUCAGCCUGGGA
rnacentral:lncRNA from 1 species